rnacentral:lncRNA from 1 species
ACCUGAAAUAAACAAAAUCAAAUAAAAUUAAAACUAAAAUUAAAACACACCAAAAAAGAAAUAAAAAAGAAACAAUGGGGAUUUAGCAAAGUUGCUAAUCCCCGGCAACGGCGCCAAAAUUUGAUGCGAAAUAUUAUAAGCACACAAAUUAAACCCUCUUUUUGACAAUUGUAGUAUAGAUGUAAGUAGGGUAUCAUUCUAAACUGGGGAUUAGGAGGGCUUGCUAAAACCUCUAAACUGACUCAAAAACAAAAAGAAACAAAGUUAAAAAUGUAAA